rnacentral:lncRNA from 1 species
UCAUCUUCUCUCUUGGUCUCUUGGUCUCUCCCAUAACAGAGGUCACGACCACGACGCCGUUAUGCAACUCGUCAAGCAAGUCAAGUCGGGCUCCUCUCUAUCAGAAACCCACACCACCGUUCUCUUCAAAAACACAACGACUGCAAACUCUGCGCUCGGCGCCAUCGGCUCGACGCCGUUCAAGGUGAGCUGCCUACGGAGGCUGAGGUCGAUG